rnacentral:rRNA from 1 species
CAAGAUGAGAUUUCCCAUAGCGUAAGCUAGUAAGAUCCCUGAAAGAUGAUCAGGUUGAUAGGUUCGAGGUGGAAGCAUGGUGACAUGUGGAGCUGACGAAUACUAAUAGAUCGAGGACUUAACCAUAUAAUAUGUA